UCGGGAAUCUUGCGCAAUGGGCGAAAGCCUGACGCAGCAACACCGUGUGGGCGACGAAGGCCUUCGGGUCGUAAAGCCCUGUUGUUGGGGACGAAGGGCGAAGGGUUAAUAGCCCCUAGCCUGACGGUACCCUUCGAGGAAGCCCCGGCUAACUACGUGCCAGCAGCCGCGGUAAUACGUAGGGGGCGAGCGUUGUCCGGAAUUAUUGGGCGUAAAGAGCGUGUAGGCGGUUCGGUAAGUCUGCCGUGAAAACCUGGGGCUCAACCCCGGGCGUGCGGUGGAUACUGCCGGGCUAGAGGGUGGUAGAGGCGAGUGGAAUUCCCGGUGUAGCGGUGAAAUGCGCAGAUAUCGGGAGGAACACCAGUAGCGAAGGCGGCUCGCUGGGCUAUUCCUGACGCUGAGACGCGAAAGCUAGGGGAGCGAACAGGAUUAGAUACCCUGGUAGUCCUAGCCGUAAACGAUGAACACUAGGUGUGGGGGGAGUCGGAAUCCCCCUGUGCCGAAGCCAACGCGUUAAGUGUUCCGCCUGGGGAGUA
rnacentral:rRNA from 1 species